AAUGAACGCUGGCGGCAGGCCUAACAUAUGCAAGUCGAACGGGACCUUCGGGUCUAGUGGCGGACGGGUGAGUAACGGGUGGGAACGUGCCCUUUGGUUCGGAAUAGCCCCGGGAAACGGGGAGUAAUACCGGAAAAGACAUACGUGGGAAAGAUUUAUCGCCAAAGGAUCGGCCAGCGUUGGAUUAGGUAGUUGGGGAGGUAAUGGCUCACCAAGCCGAGGAUCCAUAGCUGGUUUGAGAGGAUGAUCAGCCACACUGGGACGGAGACACGGCCCAGAAUCCUACGGGAGGCAGCAGUGGGGAAUCUUAGACAAUGGGGAAAACCCUGAUCUAGCCAUGCCGCGUGAUCGAUGAAGUCCUUAGGGUUGUAAAGAUCUUUCAGUGGGGAAGAUAAUGACUGUACCCACAGAAGAAGCCCCGGCUAACUCCGUGCCAGCAGCCGCCGUAA
rnacentral:rRNA from 1 species